CAAAUUCCAAUCCUGCCUUGGAUUAUGAUUGUACCCUAAAUUGAUUUUAUUUGCCCACCGGGCUACCUUACCUUAUUUCCUCAUCCUUGAUUUGAAUCGCUAUACCAUUUGCCCUCGCGCACACCACCGUUGACCAACGCACCGAAACGUUCCGAGCUCAUACGGGCGAUUUGUCCAUCUUCCAGACGAUUCCUCGUCUCCUCCCUCUCUUUAGGUUUCGAGUCUGAUCUGAGUGUUCAUAGGUUUCGGAAGUUAUGAACUGGAUUCAGCGCAAGAUCUAUCUUUACAAUGUCACUUUUGGGCUCUACAUGUUGGAUUGGUGGGAGCGUUAUCUUUUCAAUACUUUGGUGAUCGUCUUGAUGUGGUUCAUUUUUUACAACGGAUCACGAUAUGUAACUGAGUUCUGCAAGAGGUGGGGUUGGCAUAUCAGAUAUGAUUGGCAGGAUUCAACGGCACGAAUGCAUGGGAUUUGAGAAUCUCUGCUAGCACGACUCAUUGCAUAUGUUUCUCUUCCUUCCUUCCUUCCUUCCUUCUGUUAUGUGUGACGAUCUUUGUUUUGCUUGUAUCAAUUCUUGGUUUCGAUGGAAUUGGCUUUUACUUCUUUAUAUUCCUUGAAGGCUUUGUUAUUUAUGCUUUCAAUUCAUAAGAUGAACGUACAUAUAACUUACAAUGUUACAAUCAUUUAGGAUCA